rnacentral:rRNA from 1 species
CAGAUGAACGCUGGCGGCAGGCUUAACACAUGCAAGUCGAGCGGAGUGAUGGUGCUUGCACUAUCACUUAGCGGCGGACGGGUGAGUAAUGCUUAGGAAUCUGCCUAUUAGUGGGGGACAACAUUUCGAAAGGAAUGCUAAUACCGCAUACGUCCUACGGGAGAAAGCAGGGGAUCUUCGGACCUUGCGCUAAUAGAUGAGCCUAAGUCGGAUUAGCUAGUUGGUGGGGUAAAGGCCUACCAAGGCGACGAUCUGUAGCGGGUCUGAGAGGAUGAUCCGCCACACUGGGACUGAGACACGGCCCAGACUCCUACGGGAGGCAGCAGUGGGGAAUAUUGGACAAUGGGCGCAAGCCUGAUCCAGCCAUGCCGCGUGUGUGAAGAAGGCCUUAUGGUGUAAAGCACUUAAGCGAGGAGGAGGCUACUGAAGUAAUACCUCAGAUAGUGGACGU